AGAGUUUGAUCCUGGCUCAGGACGAACGCUGGCGGCGUGCCUAAUACAUGCAAGUCGAACGCUUCUUUUUCCACCGGAGCUUGCUCCACCGGAAAAAGAGGAGUGGCGAACGGGUGAGUAACACGUGGGUAACCUGCCCAUCAGAAGGGGAUAACACUUGGAAACAGGUGCUAAUACCGUAUAACAAUCGAAACCGCAUGGUUUUGAUUUGAAAGGCGCUUUCGGGUGUCGCUGAUGGAUGGACCCGCGGUGCAUUAGCUAGUUGGUGAGGUAACGGCUCACCAAGGCCACGAUGCAUAGCCGACCUGAGAGGGUGAUCGGCCACAUUGGGACUGAGACACGGCCCAAACUCCUACGGGAGGCAGCAGUAGGGAAUCUUCGGCAAUGGACGAAAGUCUGACCGAGCAACGCCGCGUGAGUGAAGAAGGUUUUCGGAUCGUAAAACUCUGUUGUUAGAGAAGAACAAGGAUGAGAGUAACUGUUCAUCCCUUGACGGUAUCUAACCAGAAAGCCACGGCUAACUACGUGCCAGCAGCCGCGGUAAUACGUAGGUGGCAAGCGUUGUCCGGAUUUAUUGGGCGUAAAGCGAGCGCAGGCGGUUUCUUAAGUCUGAUGUGAAAGCCCCCGGCUCAACCGGGGAGGGUCAUUGGAAACUGGGAGACUUGAGUGCAGAAGAGGAGAGUGGAAUUCCAUGUGUAGCGGUGAAAUGCGUAGAUAUAUGGAGGAACACCAGUGGCGAAGGCGGCUCUCUGGUCUGUAACUGACGCUGAGGCUCGAAAGCGUGGGGAGCAAACAGGAUUAGAUACCCUGGUAGUCCACGCCGUAAACGAUGAGUGCUAAGUGUUGGAGGGUUUCCGCCCUUCAGUGCUGCAGCUAACGCAUUAAGCACUCCGCCUGGGGAGUACGACCGCAAGGUUGAAACUCAAAGGAAUUGACGGGGGCCCGCACAAGCGGUGGAGCAUGUGGUUUAAUUCGAAGCAACGCGAAGAACCUUACCAGGUCUUGACAUCCUUUGACCACUCUAGAGAUAGAGCUUCCCCUUCGGGGGCAAAGUGACAGGUGGUGCA
rnacentral:rRNA from 1 species